rnacentral:rRNA from 1 species
UACGUAGGGGGCAAGCGUUGUCCGGAAUUAUUGGGCGUAAAGGGCGCGUAGGCGGCUGAACAAGUCAAAGGUGAAAUCCCUCGGCUCAACUGAGGAACUGCCUUUGAAACUGUUCGGCUUGAGGCCGGGAGGGGGUAGCGGAAUUCCCAGUGUAGCGGUGAAAUGCGUAGAUAUUGGGAGGAACACCAGUGGCGAAGGCGGCUACCUGGACCGGUUCUGACGCUGAGGCGCGAAAGCGUGGGUAGCAAACAGG